rnacentral:rRNA from 1 species
CUACGGGGGGCAGCAGUCGAGAAUCUUCCGCAAUGGACGAAAGUCUGACGGAGCGACGCCGCGUGCGGGAUGAAGGCCUUCGGGUUGUAAACCGCUGUCAGUGGGGAGGAAAUGCAUCAGGGUUCUCCCUGGUGUUUGACCGAUCCGCAGAGGAAGCGCAGGCUAAGGUCGUGCCAGCAGCCGCGGUAACACGAACUGCGCGAACGUUAUUCGGAAUCACUGGGCUUAAAGAGUUCGUAGGCGGCCUUUCAAGUCGGGUGUGAAAUCCCUCGGCUCAACCGAGGAAUUGCGCCUGAUACUGUUGGGCUUGAGGGGGAUAGGGAUGAGCGGAACUGAUGGUGGAGCGGUGAAAUGCGUUGAUAUCAUCAGGAACACCGGUGGCGAAGGCGGCUCACUGGAUCUCUUCUGACGCUGAGGAACGAAAGCUAGGGGAGCGAACGGGAUUAGAUACCCCGGUAGUC